GGACAUAUUUUGGCAUCGUGUUCAACAGAUGGUACCACUGUCCUAUGGAAUACUGAAAAUGGACAGAUGUUGGCAGUGAUGGAACAGCCUAGUGGCAGCCCCGUGAGGGUUUGCCAGUUUUCCCCAGACUCCAGGUGUUUGACAUCAGGGGCAGCUGAUGGAACUGUGGUUUUGUGGAAUGUACAGUCAUACAAGUUAUAUAGAUGUGGUAAUGUUAAAGAUGGCUCCUUGGUGGCAUGUGCAUUUUCUCCUAAUGGAAGCUUCUUUGUCACUGGCUCCUCAUGUGGUGAUUUAACAGUGUGGGAUGAUAAAAUGAGGUGUCUGCAUAGUGAAAAAGCACAUGAUCUUGGAAUUACCUGCUGCAAUUUUUCUUCACAGCCAGUUUCUGAUGGAGAACAAGGUCUUCAGUUUUUUCGAUUGGCAUCAUGUGGUCAGGAUUGCCAAGUCAAAAUUUGGAUUGUUUCUUUUACUCAUAUCUUAGGUUUUGAAUUAAAAUAUAAAAGUACCCUGAGUGGGCACUGUGCUCCUGUUCUGGCUUGUGCUUUUUCCCAUGAUGGGCAGAUGCUAGUCUCAGGGUCAGUGGAUAAGUCUAUCAUAGUAUAUGAUACUAGUACUGAGAAUAUACUUCACACAUUGACUCAGCACACCAGGUAUGUCACAACUUGUGCUUUUGCACCUAAUACCCUUUUACUUGCUACUGGUUCAAUGGACAAAACAGUGAACAUCUGGCAAUUUGACCUGGAAACACUUUGCCAAGCAAGGAGCACAGAAGAUCAGCUGAAGCAAUUUACUGAAGAUUGGUCAGAGGAGGAUGUCUCAACAUGGCUUUGUGCACAAGAUUUAAAAGAUCUCGUUGGUAUUUUCAAGAUGAAUAACAUUGAUGGAAAAGAACUGUUGAAUCUUACAAAAGAAAGUCUGGCUGAUGAUUUGAAAAUUUGAUUCUCUAGGACUGCGUAGUAAAGUGCUGAGGAAAAUUGAAGAGCUCAGGACCAAGGUUAAAUCCCUUUCUUCUGGAAUUCCUGAUGAAUUUAUAUGUCCAAUAACUAGAGAACUUAUGAAAGAUCCGGUCAUCGCCUCAGAUGGCUAUUCAUAUGAAAAGGAAGCAAUAGAAAAUUGGAUCAGCAAAAAGAAACGUACAAGUCCCAUGACAAAUCUUGUUCUUCCUUCAGCGGUACUAACACCAAAUAGGACUCUGAAAAUGGCCAUCAAUAGAUGGCUGGAGACACACCAAAAGUAAAAUUGUUGAUAGUGUAUUGUUUAUAUUUUCAGUGGUCUCAUUUGAAUGAUUUACAGGUAAAUAUUAAUCAGACAUUAUUAAAAGCAAAACAGGAAAAAGGUAAACUUAAAUUUAGUUACCUAUAAAAAUUGUGAAUUUUCAUUCUUUAAAAACACAUGGACUUACUAUAAAAGCCUUUUUGUACUAGUGAAAAAAGUCUUCAGCUAUGUAGAAAUAAAGUUAUACUUUAAA